GAUAGAUAUUGCUCCACUCUGUUGACAGUGCUUUUUGGUUUAUAUGCAAAUAACAUAAUAAAAGUAAUACAUUUUGUAUGUGUUUCAUUUCAGAUGUACGAGACGGUAAUAGAUAAUAAAAGAGGGAAAGUGCAACAGGCCUUUUCUGUUUUGCACCAGAUCACUUGCUAUAAGCAUAGUGACACCACGCUUACAUCUGUGCUCAACGAAGUUAAGGGAGUCCAGACCGCCCUGAUGAUACAGGGUCACAAGCAUUCAGACUCUGGCUGUCCAUCUCUGGAGGACCUGUCGCUCUGGGAUAGUAAGAAGAAGAAGUACUCUUUGCUUCGGGAUUUAAAGGCAGUACUAAUCCCAUUACAGCCAGACUGUUAAACUGUUGACUCUGUUUUAAGAUGUUAUAGUUAGAUUUUAUUAAGUUAUUAAGUGUGUUGUUAAUCAUUUAUUUAUUCAAUUGACUUUUUAUGUAAUAUUUAUUUUAAUUAUUGUAUUUAUAUUAGCAUGCAGACACAAAUUGCC
rnacentral:lncRNA from 1 species